rnacentral:rRNA from 1 species
UAGGGAAUAUUAGUAAUGGGCGGAAGCCUGAACUAGCAACACCGCGUGUGCGAAGAAGGCCUUCGGGUUGUAAAGCACUUUUUGAGAGGAUGAGGAAGGACGGUACUCUCAGAAUAAGUCUCGGCUAACUACGUGCCAGCAGCCGCGGUAACACGUAGGAGGCGAACGUUAUCCGGAUUUAUUGGGCGUAAAGCGCGUGUAGGUGGUUUGGUAAGUAGAGCGUGAAAGCUCCGGGCUCAACUGUGAGAGGGCGUUCUAAACUGCCAGACUAGAGGAUGGUAGAGGGAGGUGGAAUUCCGGGUGUAGCGGUGGAAUGCGCAGAUAUCCGGAGGAACACCAGUGGCGAAAGCGGCCUCCUGGACCACUCCUGACACUCAGACGCGAAAGCUAGGGUAGCAAACG